UACGUAGGUGGCAAGCGUUAUCCGGAAUUAUUGGGCGUAAAGCGCGCGCAGGCGGUUUCUUAAGUCUGAUGUGAAAGCCCACGGCUCAACCGUGGAGGGUCAUUGGAAACUGGGGAACUUGAGUGCAGAAGAGAAAAGCGGAAUUCCACGUGUAGCGGUGAAAUGCGUAGAGAUGUGGAGGAACACCAGUGGCGAAGGCGGCUUUUGGUCUGGUAACUGACGCUUGAGGCGCGAAAGCGUGGGGAGCAAACAGG
rnacentral:rRNA from 1 species